GGUUUUGUGGCUCAGUGGUAGAGUGCUUGCCUAGUAUGUAUGAAGCACUGGGUUGGAUCCUCAGCACCA
rnacentral:tRNA from 1 species